UUGGAAUGAGUCGUCAAAAUUCAAACGCCAAAAGACUUGGCGCGAUUGCUAAUUAUUUACAGGUUUCGGGAUUAUUUUUCAAGUGAGUGACUAACAAAUGUUCAAAAACAUGUUGCCGGUAGUUGGAAGCAAUUUCAUAUCUUAAGCGCAUUGGUAACGAAAGUGCAAGUGAUAAGAAAGUGAUGGCGAUUUUCGUUAAGCAGUAAAUGACACACAUUUGCGUGCUUACGUGAGGCGGGGCUGUUGAUGGUAUGUGUAUAGCCUGAAAAGUAUUUUUGUAGCAUAAAUCGAGCAUCAAACUCUGCAUAUGACGAAGAUAGGUGUUUGAUUAGAAAGGGUAUAUUUCCCCUAGUUACUGAGUGAGGUGAUCAAUUCAGCAGUUCUCACCGUUGGUAAACGACAAGCCAAAAAUGCACAAGAAUACCAACCAAUCGAUCGGUACAUCGGUACACAACACAUGCUUAAGAAUAACAGUUCUCUAAUGCUAUGCUAUGCUAUUCCACGUCGCUGUCGCACGUCGCUUUUUGACGUUCCGAGAAAAACGCGUUUUAAUGUUUGACAUUGAAUAAACAAAAACGAGAGCACG